UGCCCCAUCCCUAAUUGCCUCCAACCCAUUUCUCAUUGCUGGGUCCCACUUUCCCAUCCCCCUACUCCCCCAGUCCAUCCCCAGGGUGUGAGGUUCCUCAUCUUCAAUCUCUGCUACACCCAAACCUGCCAGGUUCCCCUUUUCAACCACUGUGGGGUCGUCCAACCCGCUGACACCCAUCCACUCUGGGCUCUCUAAAUCCCACAUUCCCACAAUGCACCUUGGUAAUGCCACUCUCCUCUCUCCCUAAUCCCCCUAUUCCCUUCCCUUAGGUCCUUCUGGACACCCCAACCCACAGUCAGGCCCCCACAUACAUCCCAGUCAUUCACAUGCUGAGCUAGUUCUUCAGGGACCCCCACAGCCCAGCAAACUUCUCCAUCCAUGAGCCCCACGGACCUGUGGCCGGGAAGAGCUGAGGACAGACAGGUCUGAGGAGCAGAGCAGGAGCUCUGGGAAGGAGAAGAGCAACAUGAAGAUGGAGUCUAAGAUGAGGCCAGCAAGGGAAAAGAAGUCGUGGGGAUGGAGUCCAGCCCUGAGGUGAGAUGGAAAGUGAUCGAGAGCAGUGACAGCGUGAAUCCUGUUGAUGCCAGGCAAGACCUGCCCAACUGAGACAAGAGUAACCGUCUCUGUCGAAACCUCCCUCGUGUU